rnacentral:rRNA from 1 species
GAUGAACGCUAGCGGGAGGCCUAACACAUGCAAGCCGAGCGGUAUUGUUUCUUCGGAAAUGCGAGAGCGGCGUACGGGUGCGUAACACGUGUGCAACCUGCCUUUAUCUGGGGGAUAGCCUUUCGAAAGGAAGAUUAAUACUCCAUAAUAUAUUGAACGGCAUCGUUUAAUAUUGAAAGCUCCGGCGGAUAGAGAUGGGCACGCGCAAGAUUAGCUAGUUGGUGAGGUAACGGCUCACCAAGGCGAUGAUCUUUAGGGGGCCUGAGAGGGUGAUCCCCCACACUGGUACUGAGACACGGACCAGACUCCUACGGGAGGCAGCCGUGAGGAAUAUUGGUCAAUGGGUGCAAGCCUGAACCAGCCAUCCCGCGUGAAGGACGACUGCCCUAUGGGUUGUAAACUUCUUUUGUAUAGGGAUAAACCUACCCUCGAGAGGGUAGCUGAAGGUACUAUACGAAUAAGCACCGGCUAACUCCGUG